rnacentral:lncRNA from 1 species
GAAAAAUAUUUUACAGAGAUUACAUUUGACGCAGCUGCUUCCUGAAGACCUAGAGAUCACUUUAAUCUUACAAGCACAUUCUUCAGAUUGUCGUGUGGGUGGGUAACUUCCGCCAGACUUUUCUGGAGAUGGCUAAUCCAGCCGUGGGAUGUGGUUUCUUCUAACAGCCAGUCAGGAAAAUCUUGCUUCUCAAACUCCUGUCUUGACCCCUUCCUGAACUUUGCCUCCUGGAUCUUGAGGUCUGCCUUCUGUGGAAGAGAAAUACUAGAAUCAAUGAACUGUGAACUAGAGCCCUGGGAUUAUCAACAGCCAGCUGAAAUUUUGAGAGCCACCUUAUAGAAAGCCUAACAGCAAAGACUGGAGAGAGGCUUCCAGCCAACAGCCAGCAAGGAAUUGAAGCCCUCAGUCCAAUAGCAGUGAGGAAUUGAAUCCUGCCAACAGCCUCGUGGAUGGGUUGCUUGCUGCCUGAAUCUAACUCCUGCUACUACUGCAAAUACCACUGCCAUGAAUAUCCUCAGCAAGACCCCCUUCCAGACCUGCAUGAACAGUUGUGUGAAAUGUAUAUGCACAAAGGGACUGCAAGGGAAGACCCAGAGACUAGGGAAGAACUUGGAACAAUAAUCUCAGUUUCUUCAAUUCCUAAACUUGAGAGUAUUGCUGUUUUUAAAUGAAAGUAUUUUUUCCCCCUAAGCAUUUUGUUCUAAAGUUGAGCUGCCUUUGAGGGGAAAUAAAGAGACUACCAGAUUAAUGGGUUUUUUUCAAAUGGGAUGGUGGGGUAAGGAAUAAUCGGGGUGGUCUGUGGAACAACUUGGAGGAUUGGUGUUAUGUCUCAAGAAGAUAUUCAAGUAUGUUCCUCCUUUUUUACCCAGACCGACUGCUUCAUGCUGGGCUUCAGACAUGAGAGGCUAGGAGUAGGAGGCAUGCCUUGUUCAAAGUAACUCCUCCAGGGGACAGCAGCAUCUCUUCUGACUCUUUGCUUCCAUGUCUUGAGGAAGCAGCCUCCUGCCUAUGGCCAUCUGAGGAAGCCAUCUUGGAAGCAGACCCCUCAGCCCCAGUCAAGCCUUCAGAUGACUGAAGUCUCAGCUGACAUCUUGACUUUAAUUUAAAAAAAAAAAAAAAAAAAAAAAAACAAACAAACAAACAAAAAAAAACUCCAAGCCAGAACUACCCCCAACUGGAAUUUGAGAGCUGCUUUCAAAUCCUGACCCAUAGAAACUUAGAUAAUAAAUGUUUGUUGUUUUAAGCCACUCAUUUUUAGAGAAAUUUGUUAUGCAGCAAUAGCUAGCUAAUACAGAGAAUUAACCAGCCUCUCUUAAAUUACCACCACAAAAUCAACUACCUAUUUUAUUAAAAGGUAAAACCAGCUGCUGAAGAACGUUUUUCCUCUCAAGGCUUUGGCACUUAAGAUUCAACAGUAAGAAGGAUUGAAGAGUGAAGGCUUCCUGGCUACCCCGUGGCAUCCUGUGUUUGGUUUGAAGCGUGAUAAGCCUGGGUUGCUCUUCCAGUCCACCUUGUAAGAGACUGAUGUGGAAAAAUGUGUCUCUUCUCAAGGGCUAACUCUGGAAGCUUGGGAAAAUAUUCUAGAUUUGGAUCACAUUAAAAUGGGUAUUAGACCUAGGUUCUAGUUCCAUCUCUAAGAUCUGGAUAUGUCAAAAUCCUUUUCCCUUUGUAGGUUUUAAGUUUGGCCUCUUUAAAUAAAGAAACAAUCACCCAUGCUUUGUCUUUUAACUUGCUACUUAAAACAAGGAGCUGAAGACACUGGCCAUCAUCAAAUAACUAAUGGACAAUUCCCACUGCCUCGCUGAAAUUUGCAGUCUGACUCUCAUCAUCUCUUGCCUUUUUUUUUUUGCUUUGGCUGUGUUUGUGAAACUGCCUUUGCAAAGAUUAUGAGAGGGAGUCUAGCAUGGCCAACUCCAUCUUGCUUCUAGCCUCAUGGGCUGGCUUCCCUUGCUCAUUCCUAGCCAUAGGCCAAGCUAACCAUGGGAGGAAUUUAGUUUAUAGUUUAACUUUGAAGCAAAGAUGAUACUAUUUUAUCCCUAAAACAGAUCCCUUCCUUGUUCGGGUUCUGAAACCACCUUUGUAAGACUAAUGAAAAGCCACAAGAUUAGGAUUAUGGAAAGGGCCUGAAUCCUGCUCAAAUGGAGGCAUCAUUUCUAUACUUCCUUACUGCUCAGGAGUUAUGUGGCCAAAUGGCACAGAGUUGUGACUUCCUCAAUUGCUCCUGUGGAUAACAUCACUAUUGUAGAACCUAAGGCUGGUCUUUUGAGCUGUUUUUCAGAUUUUUGCAUUCUGGCAACUGAGUGAUGCCUCCCAGACUCAUGACUCAACCAGUCCUAUGGCCUCCACCCAGAGGUGGACUCAGCACAUGAGGACUGUUUUCCUCGCACUUCUGUGAUCUCAUCCCUAACCAAUCAGUAGCACUCAUUCCCUAGCUCCCUGCCCACCAAAUUUUCCAUAAAAAGCCUAGCCUCUGAGCUCUUGGGGAGAUUGACUUGAGUGAUAAACUCCAGUUCUUCUCUAUGGCCAGUCUUGUAUUAAUUAAACUCUUUCUUUACUGCAAUACCAUGGUCUCAGUGAAUGGUUUGAUCUGUGCAGCAUGCAGGAAAAACUCAUCAAUCAAUUACAUUUGUCACUAAGUCCUCUCAGCUGGAGACUCAUCAAUGAUAUUAAAUUUUAAAAAACUACCAAGCGAAUACAAUUCAAGUGGAAGCUCACCUGUGGAGCAAUGGGAACACACUGUUAUUCAACAGGGCUGAAGUCUGAAUCAGAUGCCCGGAGGAGAUACGUUGUCUUGGCUUUGCCACUCACUGGCUAUGUGAUCUUGGAUAAGUCACCUCACUCCUCUUGAUCUCAGCUCCCUCUUCUUUAAGAAAAAAAAUAAAGUAGUGAUAAUUUUAAUAGUCAACAUUUACUGACUGUAAUCUAAAAAUGGGGUUAAGUAAAUUGCAUGCAUUACCUUUAACACAACUGUGACAUAGGAAUUAUUGUAACAUAAACAGCCUCAUAAAAUCUGUAUUUUACAGAUAAGGAAACUAAGUUUCAGAGAUAAUAAGUGGUGGAGCCGGAUUCAAACCCAAGUUCUUAACCACCAAGAUCAUAGCAAUUAUAAAUCAGUUUCAGCUUGAAUUUGAACUCUCUGGAUGCUAGGAUUCAGAAGAGAUGUGACAUCUGUGAAGAACUGAUGGUGUCAGUCUGCCAGGCAUUUAGUUAUAUGAGGAACCCAGAGUGAGGUUAGCAUCAGGGAGUCACUGGUUCUAGAGCAGAGGGAAGAUUCUAUUUACUUUUGAUGUUGGUCACUACAAAGUUAUGGUGCCAGCAAGAGAGCAAAGUAAAAACAAAAAGGCCUGGGAUAUUAGUAUGCAGGUCAUCUGGAGAAUUGGUGCCAGCAUCUUCUGUAGUAAUUGAUGAGGAUGCCCCAUCAUUGACAUCAACGACGUUGACAGUGGACACUGGCAGGAAUUGAAUGCCUUGAGCAGACACCAGUCACAGUGUCGGCAGUGGCUGGGAGUCAUUACCCCCAAUGUGCCACGGCCGGAGGGGAUAAAUGCAGCAGAUGUCACAUGGCAGCCCAGAGGAGCAGUUUGCAGAGCACAUGUGAGAAACCCUCUGAGGAUACCCAGGAGACACCACGGGAGACAGAAACCCAGGACUGUACUUGAAUGAAAUUCGAGAGAGAGCUUACAUUUCUAUAGAACAGAAGUGUAUCUUCCUGAAGAAAUUUUGUGUUUGCUCUUGAGAUCCUAUUUUUACCCUCAGACUUGGGUGGUCUGAAAAAUGUAGGUUACUGAUGAGAUGGAAGGGUGCGACUCCACAGUGCUCUGCAAGGGUCUUUCACUUUGCCUCAUGAUUCCCAGAAUUACAGCAUUUCAAACUCCAUUGACAGAAACACCAGGGCUGGCAAAUGCAGUGCAGAUCCAUUGGUGAGUCUUGAAAGGAUUUCUGAUGCUAAUUUGUUGCCCUUGGGACUAACUGGAGUUAAAUUAUGAUUAUUCCUAAUGUGGUGGUCCCAGUACUGUUUGGCGAGGAACGUGAAUACUUUCUCUAACUGGCCACAGUGCUCUCCAGGGAAAGAUGUUUGAUCUGGGGCACUGAGGCAUUCUUCCCUGCUGAUUGUUGGGAAAUGCAGCUCCUCUGUGGAAAGGGGCUUUGCUGCCAUCGUAUUGAGGUAAGUGCCUAUAGGGAAGAGAGGUGAAGUGGGGGAGACGUAGACCACAUUCCUCCUACCAGGAAAAAGGGGCUGGCUUCUUUCUGAGAACUGCUUUCUGCUGGGAAGGGGCUGGAUGAGCCAUGUAACCCCACCUUUUGCUUGGAAAUGAAGAGCUUUCCCACUCCAGAGGAAGGAGAGGGGAGGAGAGGAGGGAAAGGGCUGCAGAGCAUGUUCCUCCCGUUCCCUCUCAAGCAGAAAGGAAAGCUGUCUUCAAUUAGGAAGGGGAAGGAGAUUCAAAACAUCUGGCGGGAAAAGUGCUGGUUCUGGAGGGUCUUUGGGAGGAGGAUGGAGGCUUGUGGACAGCGCGCCUGCCUUGCUGGACCUGACACAGCCCUCUGAGAGUCUGUCACCACCUCUUCCUCUUCAGCUCUGUCUGGUCUCCUUGUGAGGCUGAGCCUUUGGCUGCCUCCUGCCCUGGGCUAAAGGAAGCAGUAACAGCAGCCACAACCUGGGCAGCACAGCCCACAGCUUUCUCCUCGGGGGUCAAUGGGUAAUUUGCACAACAGAGAGACCACCCACGGAGGCAGUACAGAGUUCACAACCUCUAGCACUUAGGCAUCUAAUCAGUUUGGUUUUGCCUGUGGAGAGCUUCCCCUUGAAUCUCAAAGCUACCAAGCUGCCUUCCUCCCCAUCCUUUAAAAUACUUCCAGGCUCCCAUCUCCUCUUAGGAGCCUUCUUGAAAUAUUUGCAGAAACUUUAUAUUCCUCCUCCCCAACCACAUACACAAUGUCACAGCUGCCUCUUCCAUUUGCUUGCAUCUCCUGUGGACUGCUCACCUUCUCCACCCCAAGCAAAGCAGAUGGCUGAGGGACAUUCAGGUUGCUUACAGAGCUGUGGAAAAUUCUCUGGAAAUCACCUGCCUGUCCUAGAGACCCCAGGUUUCCCAGGAGUCACAAGGCACCAAAGCCUGGAGGUUCCUUAAAGAUCACCUGCUGGGUGGGAUUUACUACAUUCCCCAGGAGGUCACGGCCCAGGGCCUCUGAUCAGGAUUUCCUUUGGGGUGGGCAGAUUGGGUGUGGAAAGGAGGCCAGGAAAGGCCUUUUGGUUUUCUCAAUGACUGACAGAGCAGAGGGGUGAUCUGAGAAGGAGCUGGGCAUUCCAGGAUUGUGCAAAUGUGGGCCCAGCAUCUGUUUUCCAUUAGCCUCUUUCAUUGAAACAUGGUAGUCUCUUAUGAGUUUAAAGUUUGUAUUAAGCAUCCAGGCCCUAGAAAGUUCUUUGUUUCAUGGAAGGUGAACUCCCCAUCCCACUUAAAAGCCAUGGAAUUGUGUGCCAUAUCCCAAAGGAGCACCCAUUCAAAGGCACAUGCCAAAGCUUUAUCCCUGCCCUAUGGGCCAUGAUGGCUCCUGAGACUUCCAGCCAUGAUGGCAAGAAGCAGUUGACUAUCACUCCUAAACCUCAG